rnacentral:misc_RNA from 1 species
GAUGAAGAACGUAGCGAAAUGCGAUAAGUAAUGUGAAUUGCAGAAUUCAGUGAAUCAUCGAGUCUUUGAACGCACAUUGCGCCCCCUGGUAUUCCGGGGGGCAUGCCUGUCCGAGCGUCAUUGCUGCCCUCAAGCACGGCUUGUGUGUUGGGCCCCUGCCCCCCGGCUUCGGGGGGCGGGCCCGAAAGGCAGCGGCGGCACCGCGUCCGGUCCUCGAGCGUAUGGGGCUUCGUCACCCGCUCUGUAGGCCCGGCCGGCGCCCGCCGGCGACCCCAAUCAAUCUUUCCAGGUUGACCUCGGAUCAGGUAGGGAUACCCGCUGAACUUAAGCAUAUCAAUAAGCGGAGGA